GCAAACUUGGUCAUUUAGAGGAAGUAAAAGUCGUAACAAGGUUUCCGUAGGUGAACCUGCGGAAGGAUCAUUAUCGAAUUGUUGAAACUUGGUUGUCGCUGGCUCUCUCCCCCUUGGGAGAUUGCAUGUGCACGCCUAGUUCAAACUUUUCAUUAUUAACCUCCUGUGCACUUUUGUGGAUCUUGGAUGGAUAAACUUUAUCAAAGUAAAAUUUGGUUUUGAGGAUCGCGCAGUUUGCUUUCCUCUACUAUGUGUCCAUGGUUCAUGUCUUUUUUUACUACAAACUAUAUAAACCUAGAAUGCUUUACAAGUUGGGACUUUAGUGACCCUUCUUAAAUCUUAUACAACUUUCAACAACGGAUCUCUUGGCUCUCGCAUCGAUGAAGAACGCAGC
rnacentral:misc_RNA from 1 species